GACAAGACCCUUAUCAAAAGAACUGAUUUCUACAUGAGUAAAAAUCCCAAAUACUUUUCAACUUCAAUAGAGUGAACAAGUAGGUUAGAGGUCCUUCCAUUUUUGUUGGCAAUCACAAUGAUUGGAUUUGGAUCCGUGUUGUUCAUGGGAUUCAUCAUCUGGACAACUUUCACCUUGUCUUUAACGUUAGACUAUUUAGACCACUCAGUGGACGACUUCAAGAACAACAUAGAGAAAAAUUACGAUUUCUCACCUGCAGAGCAAUCAGAUAGGGCAGAAGAAAAAGAAAACGUCAAGAGAGUAGUUACAACUGCACAAUCUGCUCAAACAGAAUAUAAAUGUCAGGACGAUAUUUGCUGGGAUUAGAAGAAGGGAAAAGGAAGGAGAAGCAUGGAUGAAAUAAUAUAUGAAAUAAAUAAAUAACCAGCAAAGGAGUUUGAAAUAUA